rnacentral:tRNA from 1 species
UGCCCAACGCGGGAAUUGAACCCGGGUCGUAGCGGUCGAAGACCAACCGUUUAGACCAUUCUUCCACCGAACCUCAGAUGGGU